GAAGUUAAAAAGCGUCGAAGACAUUCGAGAUGUACAAGUUGCUGCUACUCAGUCCAAUGCUGUAGAAUGGAAGAAACAAAAGGAAAACCCUCGGCAAUUCUUCCAAUGUAAAACUUGCGUCAAGAAAUACACGACGAAAAAGGGUCUGCAACGGCACG